rnacentral:tRNA from 1 species
AUCUAAAAUGACAGACAGAUGUAUAGGAUUUAAGCUCCUACCAGGAAGAACACCUUCUUUUAGA